rnacentral:lncRNA from 1 species
CAGGUUCCCUGGCUCCCAUCCAAUGCCUGGCCUGGCCGGGGUGACCUUUGCAGUGACAGGCUCCCUGUCAGAGCUCCAGAUUAGCUAUGUCUGCCGGGAAGUGCUCCAGGUAAGGAGAGGCCUGGGGAUUCUGGGGAUGGGAGGGGAGGGUGGCCCCACUCCAGCCCCCAAACACUCACUGUCCCCUUGUCCACCCUUCUCCCCAGGGACUGGCCUAUUUGCACUCACAGAAGAAGAUACACAGGGACAUCAAGGUGGUCUGGGGGUGUAGGGGUGCUGUUGGGGGGUGGGGCCCAGGAGAUGGGAGUGGCAUUUCAGGGGCUCAGGGAUCAGGGUAGUUUGAGCUGGCGGAGUGGGCUAGCACUGGGCUGGGGAGAGUCUCUGCAGCCUCCCAUAUCCCCUCUCAUUCCCAGGGAGCUAACAUCCUCAUCAAUGAUGCUGGGGAGGUCAGAUUGGCUGACUUUGGCAUCUCGGCCCAGAUUGGGGCUACACUGGCCAGACGCCUCUCUUUCAUUGGGACACCCUACUGGAUGGCUCCGGAAGUGGCAGCUGUGGCCCUGAAGGGAGGAUACAAUGAGCUGUGUGACAUCUGGUCCCUGGGCAUCACGGCCAUCGAACUGGCCGAGCUACAGCCACCGCUCUUUGAUGUGCACCCUCUCAGAGUUCUCUUCCUCAUGACCAAGAGUGGCUACCAGCCUCCCCGACUGAAGGAAAAAGGCAAAUGGUCGGCUGCCUUCCACAACUUCAUCAAAGUCAC